CAGCCGCCACGGGAAUACGGAGGGGACUAGCGUUGUUCGGAAUUACUGGGCGUAAAGCGCACGUAGGCGGCUUGGUAAGUUAGAGGUGAAAGCCUGGAGCUCAACUCCAGAAUUGCCUUCAAGACUGCCGAGCUAGCAGGUGAGAGAGGUAAGUGGAAUUCCGAGUGUAGAGGUGAAGUUCGUAGAUAUUCGGAAGAACACCAGUGGCGAAGGCGGCUUACUGGCUCAUACUGGACGCUGAGGUGCGAAAGCGUAGGGAGCAAACAGGAUUAGAUACCCCGGUAGUCCCUGUCUCUUAUAC
rnacentral:rRNA from 1 species